GCUCCGGUGGUCUAAUGGUUAGAGCGACCGCCUCGAUUGCAGGAGGUCGUGGGUUCGAUCCCCGGUCGAGUCA